rnacentral:rRNA from 1 species
CACAUCAAGCAAACGAUCUCGAAACGGUUACAGUUCAUAGAGAAGGAAGCUGGUACUCUAGCACAUUGAGGACCUAUGGCAUCCUCACGAAACCCACAUAGUUUGCAGUGUUGCAUUGACCCACUGAUAUUUCCACGUGAUGUCCAUAGAGGCUUUCACAGAUAACCCAACUGUGCCUAGCUCUGACCCUAAACAGUGAGGCAUACUGCCUCUCCAUAGAGACCCGGGUGAGCCAUUACGUAGUAGUAUUACUCGAGUUCCACUGGUUCCACAACCGGUGCCCUAGUACGUAAUGCCAUGCUCAUUUCACUGAACGGCCAUUUCUCUGACUUGUUCCAUAACCCUAUGGCUGCUAGCUCAGAGCCCGUUCAUUGCAUGGCUAACUGUUUCCCUUAACAUAUGUCCCAAACUAGCUUAGGAGC